GCCAUACCUGCAACACUUCUCGGAGGGCGGUGUGCAGCCAUGAAAACAGAGCAACAAGACCCUUCAUCGAUUCUGGAUAAAAUGUGAGGGGUUUGACGUAAACUACCAAUGUCCACAAUGAUGACGAUUAUUUCUGUGGUUUGAGCCUGACUGGUGGUUUCAUUGAGUUUGGGCAGGGUGAAGGGCUGGAUGGCAGUGGUCAUGCUCCUUGGGAUGAAUAGUGAAGGUUUACGGACCCAUCGUGAUGGGAUUGGAAGGAUCCAGUUCACAGUCCCAUCUUUGAGAGGACCAGGAGUCCUUCUCCAAAGACAUGGAAGUGACUCUGCACAGAUGGCGUACAAUUGGCCGGACAUGGGGGUCCCCCGACGAACUCCCCUUCCAAAGGGAAUGGGCGCCAUCAACGGUUCAUGGACGUGGAUGAGGCACUCUGCUGCGGAGUACAGGAGGCGAACCCGGGCUGCAAAGUGUGGUCCGAGCCCAAAUGCCUGCAGGAGCGCCCAGCCGGAAACGUGUUCUGCCCGGUCGAAAGAGGGAGCGGCUCUGCUGGUCAGCCAGGAUCCUGGAGCAGGUGGAUGAGAUGGACAUUUUCCUGAACGGAUCAGCCUGGCACUCUGUGGGAUUGGUCUGUUUGGAUCAAACCAAGAUGGCUGGCCAUUGCCCGGGUGAGGAACUUGUAGUCCACGCACAAGGGAGAAGACACCAGUUUUUUAAGCAGGCAGGGGUCUCUUUCGUGGGCAACCGGACCACAACAGCUCUCUGCUAUUAAGGGGGCAUCUCCCCAGUGGUUAGACUCUCCCCUGGGACAAGGCUUUAGUCAACCCCCAGGACGUCCCAGAAAGCCUGAACGAACUCAGCUAGACCAGGGAGACUUGCACCAGCCUGAGUCAGGGGAGCAUCCAGCCACUCUGUGACCUUUGGGCUGACCGUCAGCAAGUCCUCCCAGACCUCGCUGCAAACAUCGCUACUUCGAGGGUUCAAAGGCAAUGUCAGAGAAAUGUAUACAACAGACAUGCUGAGAUCUUUUUUCUGAGGAACCAUCCACAAGAACAGAAGGGCGCCCCCAAAGGACGAACGACAGUUAUAUGUUAUGACCCCAAACACCCCCCCCCAGCGCAUUAGCGGCAGCAAGCAACAAUACCCCUUCCCCCCCCAGGCAAAAUAAUAGAUUGGCACCUGUCAGCAAGCACUCAAGCUAAGCAAAGCAACAGCAAAGACACAGGACUUGCAGUUACCCCAAAGAUUUUGCGUUUCACCCGAUAGUCGACAUACCACAGGCUCUCUCUCUCCCUAACAAGGGAGGGGUAGGUGUCUCCAUUUUCACAGCGAGCAGGGAGAUGUAACAAACAACUCGCUGGUUUACGAUUUUAAAAGUCUGUUAUGAUGCUUUUCUUGAGCUCUGUUCCCGAAAAUCUGGGCACAGAGCAGAUUUUCCGACUCCCAGGACGACACACGUGUCUCCUGUCGUGACACCUACCCUUGAUCCGCCCGUCUCUGGAGGCCUGAGAUCUUCAGCUUCCAAAUCCGAGCAGGACUCUCAGGCCGAACCCUUGGCAGUCCUGAUCGUGAACAACGGCCCGUCCUGAAACCCUGAGAACAGGUCCCAUUCUCACAAAUCCGAGCGGGACUCUCAGGCCAAACCCUUGGCAGUCCUGAUCGUGAACAACGGCCCGUCCUGAAACCCUGAGAACAGGUCCCAUUCUCACAAAUCCGAGCGGGACUCUCAGGCCGAACCCUUGGCAGUCCUGAUCGUGAACAACGGCCCGUCCUGAAACCCUGAGAACAGGUCCCAUUCUCACAAAUCCGAGCGGGACUCUCAGGCCGAACCCUUGGCAGUCCUGAUCGUGAACAACGGCCCGUCCUGAAACCCUGAGAACAGGUCCCAUUCUCACAAAGAACUGCAGUCAGCGUGCAACUCCAGGUCAGGGUCUUCAAAACAACCCUGAAAGGGAAAAAUACAGAUGUUGAAGAUGGAAAUAGAGCUGAUUCUGAAGAUGCAGGCAAAGGAGUUGCCGUUGAGCGCCAUCUUAACUUCGCUCAGCCCCGACCUCUGGAGAGAACAACGACCCUUAGAAGGAGUGGAUUUCUUUGGGGAUCCGUGACGGAGGAGCCAUCAGCAGCUAGCGAGUCCACUGGCUGCUUUUGGGCUCCCCACCGCUUCUCCAGCGAGUAGAAGAAGGGUCAGCCGCAGUCCUAAUCCUGCAGCAUUCGGACCCAUGACCUCUCAUACCGGCUUUGGGACGGCUGAAGCUGCAGAUGCCUCAGUGCUUUAUUCUCCAGAUAUUUCUGCUGUAGCAAGACCAAGACGGGACUCCCAAGUCAAACAACUCUCUCUCAAGCUGCUCAGUCUCCGAGCCCCAGCUCAUACAACCCCUGAACGUACUCCCGACAUAGAAAUGGGACUUGGGUUUUGCCCGCGUCCCUCUUUUGCUUGUCGGCCAGAAGGAACCGCAGUAUGCAAUUAGAGGGUUUGAUAAAUCAAAGACGGGGUGGGGGGGGAGCAGACAAACUAGUUGUCUUUGUUUCUCUCCCCCCCCCCCACCCCAUUUUGUGGACUCUGAACUGACUCUUGCUCUGGGGUAGUCUAACCAGAACAACUGAAUGUGGACACGAGGAAAUUCAGGUAACGACCUGCGAAACCUGAGACCAUCUCAGACAAGUAGCUAUUUGUUAUGUAAAGGGCGUGGACUCUGAACUGACUGUUGCUGCUCUUGGAUAAUCUAACCAGAGCAAAUGAGGCUACGUCCAAACUAGACCGGAUCAUUUUGAAAACGCCGGUUUCGCGUAAAAACG